rnacentral:rRNA from 1 species
GCCAUGCCGCGUGAGUGAUGAAGGCCCUAGGGUUGUAAAGCUCUUUUGUGCGGGAAGAUAAUGACGGUACCGCAAGAAUAAGCCCCGGCUAACUUCGUGCCAGCAGCCGCGGUAAUACUAAGGGGGCUAGCGUUGCUCGGAAUCACUGGGCGUAAAGGGUGCGUAAGCUGGUCUUUAAGUCAGAGGUGAAAGCCUGGAGCUCAACUCCAGAACUGCCUUUGAUACUGAGGAUCUUGAGUAUGGGAGAGGUGAGUGGAACUGCGAGUGUAGAAGUGAAAUUCAUAUAUAUUCGCAAGAACACCAUUGGCGAAGGCGGCUCACUGGCCCAUAACUGACGCUGAGGCACGAAAGCGUGGGGAGCAAACAGGAUUAAAUACCCUGGUAGUCCACGCCAUAAACUAUGAAGGCCAUCCGUUACUGGGUUUACUCCCUAGUGGCGCAGCUAACGCUUUAAGCAUUCCGCCUGGGGAGUACGGUCGCAAGAUUAACACUCAAAGGAAUUGACGGGGGCCCGCACAAGCGGUGGAGCAUGUGGUUUAAUUCAACGCAGCACGAAGAACCUUACCUCCCCUUGACAUGUCCAGGACCGGUCGCACAUAUGUGACCUUCUCUUCGGAG